rnacentral:rRNA from 1 species
UUACGGGGCCGGCCCCGAAAUACAGUGGCGGUCUCGCCGCAGCCUCUCCUGCGCAGUAGUUUGCACACUCGCAUCGGGAGCGCGGCGCGUCCACAG